UACAGAGGUCCCAAGCGUUGUUCGGAUUCACUGGGCGUAAAGGGUGCGUAGGCGGUCGGGUAAGUCUGAUGUGAAAUCUCACAGCUUAACUGUGAAACUGCAUUGGAUACUAUCCGGCUCGAGGAAUGGAGGGGAGACUGGAAUACUUGGUGUAGCAGUGAAAUGCGUAGAUAUCAAGUGGAACACCAGUGGCGAAGGCGAGUCCCUGGACAGGUCCUGACGCUGAGGCACGAAAGCUAGGGGAGCAAACAGG
rnacentral:rRNA from 1 species